rnacentral:rRNA from 1 species
AGCAGCCGCGGUAAUUCCAGCUCCAAUAGCGUAUAUUAAAGUUGUUGCAGUUAAAAAGCUCGUAGUUGAAUUUCGGGGUUAGUACGCUGGUCGUGCCUUCGGUAUGUACUGGUGUUACUGAUUCCUACCUUCUGACGAACCGUCAUGUCAUUAAUUUGGUGUGGCGGGGAAUCAGGACUGUUACUUUGAAAAAAUUAGAGUGUUUAAAGCAGGCUCGCGCUUGAAUACAUUAGCAUGGAAUAAUGAAAUAGGACGUUCGAUUCUAUUUUGUUGGUUUCUAGGAUUGACGUAAUGAUUAAUAGGGAUAGUUGGGGGCAUUAGUAUUCAAUUGUCAGAGGUGAAAUUCUUGGAUUUAUUGAAGACUAACUACUGCGAAAGCAUUUGCCAAGGAUGUUUUCAUUAAUCAAGAACGAAAGUUAGGGGAUCGAAGACGAUCAGAUACCGUCGUAGUCUUAACCAUAAACUAUGCCGACUAGGGAUCGGAUGAUGUUAAUUUUUUAAUGUACUCAUUCGGCGCCUUACGGGUAAAA